UCUGAUCAAGCAUAAACAUUAAAUGGGCCCUUAACUUUAAUUCUUUAAAUUAACGAGAAACUGUAUUGAUUCCAUGCUUCAUAGUCUGAUACUGAACCUAUUUACAUAAAUUGUAGGUUUCUUUAAAAGGUAAAAAUCACACGUAGAUUACUUUUGUCUGUCCCAAUCUUCGCUGCAAAGAAACGUAAAAGUAUGGGUUAAUUUUAUAUAAUCAGAAACACCAAAUCUCCAUGUGUACAUGCUCAUGUAAAUACCAAAGUUUAGCCUGGUUAUGCACAUACAAGCUUAUUUUUGUGAAUAAAUAUGUCGACUGUAAGCUGACACAGUCCCUUUUGAAUGGAAAUCCAGUUAAGGCCCAAUGAUUUGAGGGCUUAUUUGCCCUUGACAUAUUAAUUGAAAUGAUGAUACCUCAGCAUGCUAGUUAGUUCAGGCCUUUUCUUUAUUUUGAGACAAGAAUAAACAGAAAAAUCAUAGUCUUUUAGGAUUUGGCCUUAAAUAAAGAUGAGAUGAGCCUCGCCAAAUAGUUACAAAUCGCGGGGCCCUCAAUAAACGUAUACAAUAAUUGGUUGGACUUCGGAGUUGGCCGUUUAGUGAAUUUUCACGACCUCUUCCUAAAAUAACAAUACGUUAGUCUUUUUAGGACGCGCCUUAAUUAAUCUUACCUUCUUAAAUACGGGUGUACAUUUAUGUAACCCAAAUUCAAAUCCCAACGAAGUCGAAAUGCGUCGACCAAUCACGGGUACAUCGAUUGUGACGUGGUUCGAAAUGCAUUUCCAUGACGUUGCAAUUCUUUUGAAACAAUAAAAACAAAUGAGACGAGCCUCGCCAAAAAAUGCACAAGCUGUCGGGCCCUCUAUACGUGUUUGUAAAGUUUGCUUAGACUGCGGGGACGGGCCGUUUAGCAAAGUUUCACGGCCUUGCCCAAAAUAACGAUACGCCAAUCGCUUAGAGUGCGUCUUUUAAUAAAAUUACUUCCCUAAGUAUGGGUGCGCAUUUAUGUGACCCAAAUCCAAAUCUCAACGGAGUCGAAACGUAUUAACAACCACGGGUGCAUUGAUUGUGACGUGGUUCGAGAUGCAUUUUCACGACGUUGCAAUUCUAUUAAAAAAUAAUAAUAAAAGCGGUUAAACUUAAUAAGAGCACACAAGUCAUAACAUGUAUAAAAAUCAGAUAUUUAGCCACUACAACAAUUUAAGCGACCGUGCUAGAACCACGGGAUUCGGGGGUGCCUAACAUCUUCCCUCGGGUCAACAGAAUUCCUUACUUAGAAUUUCUGGUUCGCAGACUUCAUUUGGAAAGUCGAAUAUUUUCCUCGAAUUGGGAUUCAAGAUAAACCGGUGACUUGGGACACCAAAAGCCAAACCUUUCCCAAGUGGCGACUCUGAAUUAAAUAAAUAAUCCCAUUUCGAAUAUUGUCACUUAAAUUAGAAAAACUCCCUCACACAUUUAUCCUUCGGGGUAGGCGCGCAAAAAGGAGGUGUGACAGACAUGAUAAAUCUUAUAGUCAUUGUAACUAAAUGUUGAAAAGAAUGCUUCGUUAAAGUUCCUUACUAAGUAACAGGGUCAAUUAACUUAGACAUACGUCUAAUUACUUUUCCAGUCAUCAUGUUUUCUACGACAUUCUAAUUCUAAUUACUUAGAAUUACCUCUAAGAUGUGUUUAGAAGAGGUGCUCAAAUGGCUUGGGAUGAGCAUAAAGAACACAGAGGUGACAGGGAUAUGGAGAAGGAUGACCAGAAUAGCAAAAGGAAAAAUAGGAAGAUCUUCCACACAGGCAGUAUUGGCAGCAGUCAUUUAUCAUAUCUGGGAAGCCAGAAAUGAAGCAGUCUGGAUGCAGAGAGUCCCAAGACCUCGAACUGUACUGGAGCAAAUAAAAUACACAUGUAAACAUAGAUGUUUGGAAGUUGUAUAGAAGAAGAAGUCAUAGAAAGAAAUGAGCUGGAUUGAGAAACUAUAUAGAUAGGUCACAGGAAAUAGACACACAAAAUGUAUAGAAAUAUAUGGAUAGGAAACAAAUGAAGGCAACGGUGAUAUAGCAAGAUAGAAGUGGUAUAGGAAUGGCAUGAAGGAUAGGAGAAAGAAUAAUGAGAACGUUGUAUGUGUUUGGUUUGGGAUGAUUGAAUAAUAAGAUUUAUUUUACACCAAAAAAAACGUACUAAUUAAAGCAAAGACCUAAUACCAAUAAGCUUAUUUAUUCACAUAACCAAUUAGUUUGACUUCUUAUUUUAUUUCAAUCUUUAUGCAAACAGACCACAUAACUUAAUAAUUUUACACAAAAUAAUCUUGAUCAAGAUUUCUAUAGCAGUUAACUACGUUUUCGAGCAAAUAGACAAACAUUCCAGAUCUUCAAAGAAGAAAGAGAAUAAAGAUUUCAAAAUUACUAACCUUUUGUGGUGCAAGACAGGGGCGGAUGCAAUGCAUUAUAUACGGGUUCAAUUGAACCCAUAAUUUUUUAUGCGGAGUAAAAAUUUAUAUGUAAAAAUUCAUUAAAAUCAUAAAUAUAGUAGAUAUGAACCCAUAACUUUAAAAAUAUAAUGGGGCUAAUGAUAAAAUCUUUAAAAGUUGAACCCAUUGAAUUUAAAUCUUGGAUCCGCCUCUGGUGCAAGAGCCUGGGUCGCGUCAAGGUCUGCUAUCUCGGCCUCUACUUUGCAACCUCGACCGAUCGUCAAACUCCGAAACGAGCACGCCGCCGCCUCUAUUACAUUUAAACAAAACCAGUAGAGGGUGACCAAAACGAGCCCUUAAAGUGUGGUUCUAAUGAGUAAAAAUGAGAGAAGAAUGGCAAGGACAAGAGUCUAAAAGUGGCGAGUAAAAAAGGUGCUGAAAAUCUCUAUCAAGUUUGGUAUUUAUAAAAAAAAAUAAAAAAAAGUUUGGUAUUUAUAGGAGAUGAAUUAAGGCUCUUCUAAGAUUAGUUUGGGGUGACAUUUUAAUGUUUAAAAUCGGGUCAAAGGACGUUUGAA
rnacentral:lncRNA from 1 species